GCCCGACGUGCUAACGUUUCUGCCAGCUCGCCGCUUUAAGUCUGGUGCUUAUUCUAUCGGUCUCUUUUGCUAGCGUACGAGGACGUAAAUAAGCCAACACCGGUUGUCAAUCGGUGAUGAGGGACAAACAUAACGACGCUCAUGUAUAUACGUAUGGCGGUCUUCCACACAGUUUCCGUCUGCUAAAUUCAUUUACAAGUCAUCGACCGACUCGGGGUUAUAAUAGAAGACACUUGCACAAGAUGCCAUGCAGCAGGACUAACCUCGAAACCACGUGGCUGCAAAGCGAUUUCCUUAACCAAAUAGCUGAAUCUUUCGUCAUCGUUUCCGUUAUUAAUUUAUCAGAGUUUUGACAGCCUAUUACAAUUCCUAAGUUAAGUAGAAUCAAUGAAUCAACGAAGAAACCUCAACGCAGUCGCUCGAUCUGUUAAAAAGAGCAACGAGAACACAUAGACACAAAUAUCCAAAUGAAAAAAAAAAAAAAAUAAAGAAAGAAAGAAACACAGAAAAAAUUACAAAAUACUGUACAAAAUACAAAAAGGAAUUAAUAGAAUUUAUUGAAUAUUUUGCUUUGCAAUAAAUGUGUAGUUAUUAUCCCCAGAAAAAAGAAAAAUACAUACGAGUCUAAGAUACGAAGGAUACAAUUUCAACUUAGGUGGUAACAAACCGCGAAAAGCACAAAUAUGCGCAUUUGGUUUAUGCACUAGCCUAAUUUAUAAGCAGCUGGUCUAUGCUAUUGACUUGGGAAGGAAGAUAGGAACAUCUUCUCUGAGGAGCCGCUAGUAAAUCGCGAAACAAUCUGUCGGGAGGUGUUCUCCCUUUUUUCUCUACAUUGAAAGUAUGUACUUGCUGAUUUCACGGUAUCUGACUAUGGACGAACCUAGAUGUAGUUAAUUUUGUGUGUGGCGAGAUGUGUGUAUGCAUAUAUAUAAACGUACAAGCAUGCACGCACAAAAAAGAAAAACCUGUUUGGAAUGUCUACUUAUAGUACAAGUGCAAACUUGUAUUUAAUCUCAAGAUACUGGACAUCUAACAAAUUGUAUUCGCGAUAGGCACGAUAACCGAAUUGAAGAUAACGAGUUUGACCUAAUUUUUUACCAACCUCUCCUCUUCUGAGGAUCAAAUACUAAAACCGACGCAUUAUUUUGGCGGUACCUGCAGUUCUGGCAUCCAAUUCAACCUCCUAUUUUCCACCACUCGUAAAUACGGCCUCGAGAUACUUAAAUUUCUCCACUUGCUUUAGUGAUGUUCCACUAAAAUGCAGAAUGCACUGUGAAGACUUUGUUAUACACAUCUACUUUAUAUUCGUAAAUAGGACAUUCUAAUAAAUGAACUGUAAAAUUUAAUAAACUGUCAGAAAGAACUGAUAAGGCAA